rnacentral:rRNA from 1 species
UACGUAGGGGCUAGCGUUAUCCGGAAUUACUGGGCGUAAAGAGCUCGUAGGUGGUUUGUCACGUCGUCUGUGAAAUUCCGGGGCUUAACCUCGGGCGUGCAGGCGAUACGGGCAAUACUUGAGUGCUGUAGGGGAGACUGGAAUUCCUGGUGUAGCGGUGAAAUGCGCAGAUAUCAGGAGGAACACCGAUGGCGAAGGCAGGUCUCUGGGCAUUUACUGACGCUGAGGAGCGAAAGCAUGGGGAGCGAACAGGAUUAGAUACCCCCGUA